rnacentral:rRNA from 1 species
AUAGCUACGGGCUAGAUCUAGAUUGGUCGGCUCAACUUUCUUUUAUAGAUGGUAGUCGAGGCACCUUCACGGGCAGGGAUAUAGUGUGGGGGUAGUGGGUCAACCACUUGAGUGAGGUCCAGAGGUCGUUGGUAUAGGGAAGAGGACGGGGCCUGAGGACGUCGUAGACUUCGAGCGGAAGCGGCGCGCAGACGUCCCGUGAUGUACUUCACUGGAUCUUGUGUACCUUCCCCUAUGCAAGGUCCUUCUCCAGUUUACGGAGUACCUCCACUUCGUGUUUUUGCAGCGUGUCAAAGAUCCUAUAACACGGCUGUGUGUUCCCUCUCACCAACUGAAACUCCCUUCUAAACAUUACCGUCUACGUGCUGCAGUCAAGGAGACAAAAUUCAUAGAUGCGUUUCUAUGUAUGUCACCUCAACUUACCUCUCUCGUGAUACUUUAUUAGUUCCUUUAACGUUCCCAAAUACCAUGGAAGUGGCAUUAGUAUAACAAGUGAACCUGGAUUUUGGACUAUUAUAUAACAACCUACUAUUAUACCAUGGCUUUUAUCGACUGAAACCAGAGAGUUUCAUGAAAGCACGGCCUAAUAGUAAAGUUUUAUAACUACUUGUAGCCCAAUAAACCGUGGUCUUAAGAUGCCACCUUUUGAGUGUAAGUUCAGUCUGUAUAUGUCAAACCCACAAUAUUAGUAUCUCUAUAAUUAUACAGUAUACUUUAUAUGGUUUCUGACGAGACGAAACUCAUAUAUGGGUUUCCCAUAGAAAUACUAAUAUAGUGGCCAGUGUAAGUUCAGUCUGUAUAUGUCAAACCCACAAUAUUAGUAUCUCUAUGAUUGUACUGUAUACUCUAUAUGGUUUCUAACGAGACGAAACUCAUACAUGGAUUUCCCUCAGAAGUACUAAUAUAGUGGCUACGUAGAGCACCUGAACUUACCCCGUUCUCCAUGGAUUAACAAUUUCCUUAAACACUCCCGAAUAUAAUGGAACUUGUUCUUUCGUAAUAAGUGAAUCUAGACUUUGGUCGGUUAUAUAACUACCUGUUGUUAUACAACGGGUUUUAACGGCUGAAACCAGAGGGUUCUACAUUCUACAAUACUACUUUUAGUUUUAACCUAGUUACAUCCGGCUAAUUCAGAGAGUUUCGAGUAGUUACCACCGAAACGUCACCAAAUAUUCCCUUAAGAAAUUUUCCUCCGUUAGCGACACUUCUUCGAAAGGUUGUGCAGAAUAUAAGUACCAUCACUUAAGAUCACUCUCCAACUUACAGACUACUUCCGGUUCGUGUUUUUCAUGCCAAAUACUCAAUAAACCGAUACGUGUACCCCUUUACCGAAGGAUGCUCCCUUUUAAAAGGUACCGUCUACAUGUUGUUUCCAACGAAACGAAACUCAUAGAUGGCUUUCCUUCAGAAGCACUGAUAUAGUAGCUUACGAAUACCUAUACUUACCUCUCUCGCGAUAUUAUAUUAGUUUCCUUAAACACUCCCAAAUUCAAUAGAGGUGUUCUUGGUAUAACAGUGAAGCUGAAUUUUGGCUGUUUAUAUGAAAUACCUUAUAUUAUACCAAGGAUUUUAUCGACUGAAACCAUAGAGUUCUACAAAACUACUUUGUUCCUGAACAAUAAUGAAGUUUUCACUACCCUAAUCACCCUAUAUGAAAUGAUUUUCAAGAAAAGUCACCUUAUUAGUGUAAGUUUAGUCUGUAUAUGUUAGAAUCAGAUAUAUAGUUAUUAAUACCUCUAUAACUAAUACUACUUCUCCAUGAGUUUUUAACCUCCUUAUCUAACCUGUCUAGUGACCCUCCGUCUGUUGACCUUGCUCAUACGAGACUCACUACCUCACGUAACUGUGGCUCGGUCGCUCCUUUGGUUCAGGAAUCGUAUACUCGUUCGUGGAGUCGGCGGCCUCCCCAGCUACGAGCAGUUACACCUACGUUGCUAGAAGAGGGUUAGACGUUCUCGCCCGAAACCAGGUCACUAUGUAUUAGUGGACCCUUCCCACGUGUCCGCCACUUGUCUCCGAUGAAGCUUUCUCAAGUUUAAGGACUUCAUCGUCUUCGGUACCGUGAAGAAGUUUCGGAAUUGGGAACGGUUAUUUAGACCAUAUUACUUCUAGUACCAUCGUAGACUAACGGAUAGUAACCCAAAUCCAAAACUAUCCAGGGGAUGACCUCGGUAUCAGGUACUAUAAUCUUUUACACGGUGUUUUAAACAUAGAACAUGAAAAUAGGUACAGUUAGCAAGAACAUCCGUGAUCCGUCGUGUACAAGACCAUAGGUACAGUUAGCUAAGAACAUCCGCCGUAUACAAGUCGAUUUAGCCGUCUCGUACUACAAACCAGGACAACCGAAUCACCCAAGGGACUACAUUAGUCCUGGUAAUAUACAUUGCUUAGUCAAUACUUACUUAUUUUCCCACGUUGACGGGUAAUGGAACUUCUUUU